rnacentral:rRNA from 1 species
UACGAAGGGGGCUAGCGUUGUUCGGAAUUACUGGGCGUAAAGCGCGCGCAGGCGGUCUUCCAAGUCAGUGGUGAAAGCCCGGAGCUCAACUCCGGAACUGCCAUUGAAACUGUGAGACUUGAGGAUGAGAGAGGUGAGUGGAAUUCCCAGUGUAGAGGUGAAAUUCGUAGAUAUUGGGAAGAACACCGGUGGCGAAGGCGGCUCACUGGCUCAUUUCUGACGCUCAGGCGCGAAAGCGUGGGGAUCAAACAGG